UCCCUCCGUCCAUCCGUCCGGAAAUAUUUGUCGAAGAGAUAAAUGUAUCUAGACGUAUUUUUGUUUUAGAUGCAUUCAUUUUUAUCCAUUUUUACGAUAAGUAUUUUCGGACGAAAGGAGUAUUUG
rnacentral:pre_miRNA from 1 species